ACACUAAGCUGGACCAGAAAAGCAAAACAGAUUAAUUUAAAUACAAUAUUUUAAAAUUUUAGUAAAAUACAUGAAGUCAGCAAACUAGUGUGUUUUAUCCACAACAUCGAGCUUAAUCAUGUAUUUUAUAUAAUGCAUCAUUUGAACAAAAUGUGCAUUUAAUAACUUGUUUAAUGAAAUCUCUGCCAUGCAGUCACUUUUGAAUGUGUUU